rnacentral:rRNA from 1 species
GGAGGGGGCAAGCGUUAUUCGGAAUCAUUGGGCGUAAAGGGCGCGUAGGCGGCUUGGCAAGUCAAAGGUGAAAUCCCUCGGCCCAACCGAGGAACCGCCUUUGAAACUGCUUGGCUCGAGGCCGGGAGAGGGUAGCGGAAUUCCCAGUGUAGCGGUGAAAUGCGUAGAUAUUGGGAGGAACACCAGUGGCGAAGGCGGCUACCUGGACCGGUUCUGACGCUGAUGCGCGAAAGCGUGGGGAGCAAACAGGAUUAGAUACCCUGGUAGUCCACGCCGUAAACGAUGGGUACUCGGUGUCGCGGGUAUCGACCCCUGCGGUGCCUUAGCUAACGCGUUAAGUACCCCGCCUGGGGAGUACGGUCGCAAGGCUGAA